rnacentral:rRNA from 1 species
AUGAAAAGCUCUUCAGGUAUUACAAACAGUGACUUGGCCACAUCUGGACUUGGAGGUAUUCAGGUUCUUGCCACUCUAGUUACAACCUGGUUACUAGACAGGGCUGGCCGGCGCAUCCUACUCAUUAUAUCUUCUGCUGGGAUGACUAUAAGCCUUCUUGCGGUUGCCGUCAUAUUUUUUAUCAAGGACACUGUUUCACAAGACUCUCACUUGUAUUACAUAUUGAGCAUGGUCUCCUUGCUUGCUAUUGUGGCUUAUGUUAUCGCCUUCUCCUUCGGUAUGGGCUUCAUUCCAUGGGUCAUAAUGUCUGAGAUCCUCCCGGUUAGCAUCAAGAGUCUGGCGGGAAGCUUCGCGACGCUCGCCAACUGGCUGACUUCCUUUGGGAUAACGAUGACAGCAAACUUGCUGCUCAGCUGGAGUGCUGGAGGUACCUUUGUGUCCUAUAUGCUCGUGAGCGCCUUUACGCUCGUGUUCGUCAUCCUCUGGGUGCCGGAAACCAAGGGAAGAACCCUCGAGGAGAUACAGUGGUCAUUCCGCUGA